ACGGGGUGCAGCAGGCGCGAAACCUUCGCAAUGCACGAAAGUGCGACGAGGUUAUUUCGAGUGCUAUCCGCUGAGGAUAGCUUUUGUCAGGUGUAAAUAGCCUGGAGAAUAAGGGGAGGGCAAGUCUGGUGUCAGCCGCCGCGGUAAUACCAGCUCCCCGAGUGGUCGGGACGAUUAUUGGGCCUAAAGCAUCCGUAGCCUGCUUUGCAGGUCUUCUGUUAAAUUCAACGGCUUAACCGUUGAGCUGCAGGAGAUACCACAAGGCUAGGAGGCGGAAGAGGUAGACGGUACUCCAUGGGUAGGGGUAAAAUCCUCUGAUCCAUGGAAGACCACCAGUGGCGAAGGCGGUCUACCAGAACGCGCUCGACGGUGAGGGAUGAAAGCUGGGGGAGCGAACCGGAUUAGAUACCCGGGUAGUCCCAGCUGUAAACGAUGCUAGCUAGGUGACGGAGUGGUUUCGUACCAUUCCGGUGCCGCAGGGAAGCCGUUAAGCUAGCCGCCUGGGAGUACGUCGCAAGAC
rnacentral:rRNA from 1 species